rnacentral:rRNA from 1 species
UACAGAGGUGACAAACGUUGUCCGGAAUUAUUGGGCGUAGAGGGCGCGUAGGUGGUUGAGUAAGUCAGGUGUGAAAGCUCUGGGCUUAACCCAGGAAUUGCAUCUGAUACUGCUCGGCUUGAGUACGGUAGAGGAGGGUGGAAUUCCCAGUGUAGCGGUGAAAUGCGUAGAUAUUGGGAGGAACACCGGUGGCGAAGGCGGCCCUCUGGACCGAAACUGACACUGAAGCGCGAAAGCUAGGGGAGCAAACGGG